rnacentral:lncRNA from 1 species
GGCCACCCGGAGCCUCGUCACGAGUCUUACCCAGGGUUCGGAGCGGGCCUGCAAGAAGGGGCAGGCCAGGCUGGGGCUGCAAGGCAGGGUCUUCCCUUGGAGAAGGGACCUGACUCUAUUAUUAAGAGAACGAAAGAGGCACUUGCCCUACAGUGUUGUGUGCAUAGUGGAUGUGCAGCCAGCAUUGGCUCAUGUGUGAAGGAGCAUACACUCCUGGAAAGUCUGAGCAUGUCCAUACGCAUCAUCUCACUGGGCCCCUGCAGCUCACUGAAAGAAGAGGCAGACGCCUGCCCCAACUGCCCAGAGCCCUACUGGCUGAGCGGAUCCCUAAUGUCCUUAGUUAAGCUCUCACCCUGCAUGACUGUUUUCCUCAGAAGAAGGCACUAGUGGGGACACCUUUUCCUGGGGUCUCUAUGCAGGGAAUGGGCUGGAUGUGUACAGACCUGGCCACCAUGCCUUUGGGGGCUGGUGUCACGGCCAGGCCAUGACUCUAAAGAAUGAGGGGGGCUGGGUGAGGUGGCUCAC